AUUGAACGCUGGCGGCAGGCCUAACACAUGCAAGUCGAGCGAGAGGCGGAGGGGUGUGUAAUGUCUGGGAAACUGCCUGAUGGGGGGGGGUAACUACUGGAAACGGGGGCGAAUACCGCAUACCAUCAGAGGUGCGCAGAUGGGAUUAGCUCGUAGGUGGGGUAACGGCUCACCUAGGCGACGCUCCCUAGCUGGUCUGAGAGGAUGACCAGCCACACUGGAACUGAGACACGGUCCAGACUCCUACGGGAGGCAGCAGUGGGGAAUAUUGCACAAUGGGCGCAAGCCUGAUGCAGCCAUGCCGCGUGUGUGAAGAAGGCCUUCGGGUUGUAAAGCACUUUCAGCGAGGAGGCGUUACCCGCAGAAGAAGCACCGGCUAACUCCGUGCCAGCAGCCGCGGUAAUUC
rnacentral:rRNA from 1 species